UACGUAGGGUGCGAGCGUUGUCCGGAAUUAUUGGCGUAAAGAGCUCGUAGGCGGUCUGUCGCGUCGGUCGUGAAAAACUUGGGGCUUAACCCUGAGCUUGCGGUCGAUACGGGCAUGACUGGAGUUCGGCAGGGGAGACUGGAAUUCCUGGUGUAGCGGUGAAAUGCGCAGAUAUCAGGAGGAACACCGGUGGCGAAGGCGGGUCUCUGGGCCGAUACUGACGCUGAGGAGCGAAAGCGUGGGGAGCGAACAGG
rnacentral:rRNA from 1 species